CGGGGCUGGAGACACACUCCUGAGAGGGAGAUGGGAGAGAGGGCGCCUCGCGGAUCCCGAGGAAGGCUGAAGACAGGAGAAGGGAGGGGUCGCACACGUUAAACGCUGCCGAAAGGCCAGGAGAGAUUAAGACAGAAAUGAAUCACUGGAUUCGGCCAGGCUGCGGUUAUUGACAACAGUGGGAAGAGCAGUGAGCCUCACAGGGUCAGGGGGAAGACAGGGGAUCCCGAAGAUAACGUCUGCUACGAACUCAAUUGCAUCCGCCCCGGGCCCUAAGUUGAAGCCCUAAUCCCCACGUUGACUGCAUUUGGAGAAGGACCUUCAGCACAUGAUGGAGGUGGCCCCGGAGAGGGUCAGCGAGGGGCCUCCACUGUCUGAGUCCGCUCCUGGCAACGCCUGCUCUCUGCACUCAGAGGCCCGGUCCCGGCAGCUGCCACGUUGCUCAGAAGUUCUGGCAGGGGGAGCCUGAAACCCCUGUCUGCUGGCGACACUCCCGGAGCAGCAGGAAAUCUCUACAUUUUAUUUUUUUUCUUAACAGACAAAAGUAUUUGACUCCAGAAUGAUUUCCAGGAAUUACAGUAUGAGAACUUAGUCUUUGAGAUUUUUAUUUUCUUCUUAAAAAAAUAAAAAUGAAAUCAAAGCAGAAGACACUGGUUGAGCAGACAGCACACUAGCACAUUCCACUUCGCAACAAAACCUGCGUGUUUUCUGCCCGGUCUACCUCAGACAGGGAUGGUGGGCUUCAUAGCCUUUCCUGUGGAAGGAGUUCAGGGCGGGAGGGAAGUGCUGGGGUAGGAGGGGCAGGCAGAACCUGGAAACUGCGCCCCAUUCUUUCUUCUCGGAACUCCAUUGCCAGAGGGCUUGGAGUGCUUCUCGGCGAUUUGGCAUCUGCUUCUCCUCUGCCCCUCAUUCAGAGUUCUCAUUGCAAGAAAAGCAGGGAAAAGGUUCAAAAAACCCUUCAGACUUGGAGCCGUUCCUCGGUGAUAAUUGAACCACCAGAGGUGCUGGCAGGGCCAUGGCGAGAGGCACCUCUAGGAAAUCUCACACAACCCACACUGCUCCCCUCUCCUGCAUGGCAGUGACCCUCCCAUAAAAGGGUACAGCCUGUUGUGCCAGCUUUGCAACUGGGAUCAUUGCAGUCUCUGGCUUUUUGACUCCAGGCGGGCUCCGUGCCCUCCGGGGCCUCUUCUUCCUUGUCAGGCCAGUGGGAGCCACAGAGGCCUCAUUGGCUUCCUAUGAAUAUUAAAUGGGAUUCUCUGUGGGGGAAGCUUCCAUAAGGCAGGAAGGGGUCCCCGGUUGUUGGCUAUUAGUGUUAUUUUCUUUUAAAUCAUCUGUGCUCCUUCAAAGACGACGUAAGAAGCUUGUGCCCUGGCGUUGCAGAAAUCUCUGGCUGUAGGGAUUAAACCUACAUGUCUUCCUGAUGGGGUGGUGAGGACGUAAACGGUGAAUAGUGCCAGCCACAGGGAGCAUUGCAGAGAGUAACCAAGUGUGUGAUAAACAUGCUGUCAUAUGUGUGUAAACGGCCAAGAGACCACUGCUUUUGCCUGAGUGACCUCCGCAAGGACACAGAAAUAAAACAUACAAAAAAGUUGGCACUGAGUGGUCUAGAAUCUUCCAUCUCUGUUUUUUCUUG
rnacentral:lncRNA from 1 species